rnacentral:lncRNA from 1 species
UUUUUUUUUUUAAGAGACUCUUGCUCUGUCGCCCAGGCUGGAGUGCAGUGGCACGAUCUUGGCUCACUGCAAUCUCCGCCUUCCGGGUUCAAGCAACUCUCGACCUCAGUCCUGAGCAGCUGGGAUUACAGGCACCCACCACCACACCCAGCUAAUUUUUGUAUUUUUAGUAGAGAGGGGGUUUCACCGUCUUGGCCAAGCUGGUCUUGAACUUCUGACCUUGUGAUCUACCCGCCUCAACCUCCCAAAGUGUUGGGAUUACAGGGGUGAGCCACCGCACCCGGCCAUGUUCUUUUGGCAUAGCUUGGGGUACUGGUUUUGAGCCACAAAACCUUUGAAUACUACGGUUUCUCUAAAAUGUUUGUAGGAGGGGUUAGAAAAACACAAAAUGAGAAAUUUAGAAAUCAAGGCCAUUUCAUCAUCUAAUAUCUAAACCCAUUAUUUGGGGAACAUGCAAGGCUUAAGUUUAAUUAUGCAUAGUUUCUGCAAUUUCAACACAUUUCUUAUGCAAAAGCUGUAUGUUCAUGAAGCUUUUGAGGUGAGUGCUGCUCCCUUGGAUGUAAAUUAACUGCUGUCCUGCUGGGUAGGGCUGUUGAAACUUGAAGGCUGCUGGGCAGCUGCUGUCUCCCUGCGUUCUGAGUGUUCAUUAGUGUUCCAGCACACGGACGGACACAUAGCAGCAGAUCACGUGUCAUUUGGGGGAUAGGGGAUAGUUACUGAAAAUACUAAGCAGAUAAGUUGUGUAGACAAAGCAGAAAAACAAUUAAAACACAUGACUCUUACAGACAAAAGCUGGAAAGGGUUUUGAACCCUUUUGAACUAAACAUACCCUAACUCACUGGGACACCGCAACUUGUUAUUUGCCCUAAAAUGGCCACUGACAAAUGAUUCAAUCUGUUCACAAUUGUAUCUCUUGCUCUUCUCUGUUGUAACAUUAUUCCUUUCUCCUUGCACCAGUUCUAUAGUUUUCACUUGCUCCGUCUUCUGAUUUGUUUCAUCAUAUGGAAGAAUUUUUUUUGAGCUGUUAUGAUCAUAUUAUUGUAAGGAAGAAUUCUUCUGGAGGAACUAAUCUCCAUUCCCCAUCAUACCGUCAAUGAAGGUUGCAUUGCACUGAGCAGGCGGCAGAGCCUAAAUGAUGUUGACUGACAUUUAUAAAGCCAAAGCAUCUGUGUUGAUUUAAUGCAGAGAAAUAGAAGAUGACUAUAGUCAGUCAUGUGAUAGACGAGACAUAAGCUUAUCUCCGGCUUUAAUCACAGUAUUGGUAGUAUUAAUUUUUCCUCAAUAGCCAGAGAAUAAGAUAAAUACAUAUUGGAGGAUACACAGUAUGAUAAGAUUACAGCUCCUGUUCCUGUGUGAUUUUAUCAGGAUAUAAAAUGCAAUGAUGUCAAUCUCAUUUGCAUUAAUCCAUCAAUUUGCCCUUUUUGGAGUUUUAUAAAAGUUAACUAUACAAACAAGC